rnacentral:rRNA from 1 species
UACGUAGGGUGCAAACGUUGUUCGGAAUCACUGGGCAUAAAGCGCGCGUAGGCGGUUCGGUCAGUCAGAUGUGAAAUCCCCCGGCUCAACCGGGGAACUGCAUAUGAUACUGCCGAGCUAGAGUGCAGGAGGGGAGAGCGGAAUUCCUGGUGUAGCGGUGAAAUGCGUAGAUAUCAGGAGGAACGCCGGUGGCGAAAGCGGCUCUCUGGACUGUUACUGACGCUGAGGUGCGAAAGCUAGGGGAGCGAACGGGAUUAGAUACCCCCGUA